GGUAAUACACGCUAGUUUAUCUUAACAAUUUUGUGGAAGGAUGCGUUGCCAUGCUCAAAAUCAUGGAGUCAUGCUGUAGUGUGAAGGACAAGUAUUUGAAGCAUAUGGAAAUGUUUGGGUUCAAAAUUUGAACUAUUUUGCAAUUUUCUUUGGCCGGAAAUUGAGAAGAUCAGAUUGAUACAAUGGCUAAGCAUAGAAUUUGCAACAUUGUUUGCCGCAGUCAUGCACCCAGUCAUCUUCAAUGCAAAAGACAUAUGGAAUCUCAGGAUACAUACGUUCUAAGACAGAAAAAUGGAUGUGCACUCUAGGCUCGUGAGAAAGGACAAAGCAAUACCAAAGUGGUGGUUUUUCAUGAUUCUUGCCUUGACUUUAACAGUCACCAUUACAUUCUGUGAUUCGUUUAAGGAUCAACGUCAAUUGCAGUGGUGGGGAGUGCUCCUUUCAUGUGGCCUUGCCAUAUUCUUCGCUCUACCAAAUGGCAUUAUAAAGGCUACUAUUGAUAAGUUAUCAAAGUCUUGCAUUUUGAAGAAGAUAAUGGUGAUCAUGUUGCAAAUUCUUGCAUAAAUGUACAUUCUUCUCUAUACUUGCAAAUCAGCGCAUCUUCCACGACCGCCUCAUAUCCCUUCCUACAGUUUGAUCUAUGUAAUACCGUAGGUGAUAAAUCUUUGUCUUGGCAACUGGAAUGUUUCUUUAAUGUAUUUCCUAUUUACAUCAUGAACCGCAUAUUUUCAGAUGAAGCAUAUUUUUUAUAGAUUUAUCAUUUACAAUACUUAAUAAUUUUU